rnacentral:rRNA from 1 species
GAUAAACGCUGGCGGCGUGCCUAAUGCAUGCAAGUCGCACGGAUCACCCUUUCGGGGGUGGUGAGUGGCGAACGGGUGAGGAACGCGUGGACAACCUACCCCGGCGAGGGGGAUACCCGCCAGAAAUGGCGGCUAAUACCGCGUACGGUUGCUUGGCGAGAGGCUGGGCAAAGAAAGCAGUAAUGCGCGCUGGGAGGGGUCUGCGGCCGAUUAGCUGGUUGGCGGGGUAGUGGCCCACCAAGGCGAUGAUCGGUAGCUGGUCUGAGAGGAUGAUCAGCCACACGGGGACUGAGACACGGCCCCGACUCCUACGGGAGGCAGCAGCAAGGAAUUU